AAUUUUGGACAAUGGGGGCAACCCUGAUCCAGCCAUGCCGCGUGCGGGAAGAAGGCCUUCGGGUUGUAAACCGCUUUUAGCCGGGAAGAAAAGGCGCGGGCCAAUACCCCGUGUUCUUGACGGUACCGGCGGAAUAAGCACCGGCUAACUACGUGCCAGCAGCCGCGGUAAUACGUAGGGUGCGAGCGUUAAUCGGAAUUACUGGGCGUAAAGCGUGCGUAGGCGGUUCGCCGUGUCCUGUGUGAAAGCCCCGGGCUCAACCUGGGAAUGGCAUGGGAAACUGGCGCGACUGGAGUGUGGCAGAGGGGGGUGGAAUUCCGCGUGUAGCAGUGAAAUGCGUAGAGAUGCGGAGGAACACCGAUGGCGAAGGCAGCCCCCUGGGCCAACACUGACGCUGAGGGCACGAAAGCGUGGGGAGCAAA
rnacentral:rRNA from 1 species